AUGCUCAAGAGGCUUGGCCAAGAUGAAGCAUCAUCAGUUGGCUUUCUGCUCACUGGCCAUCUGACUUCAUACUGCUGGUGUUCUGUUGAGGGAAGGAGAGAAAACAUUCACUUGGGGAGCAUCUCACUUGGAGCAAAGGCAACAACUAAUUACAACACAUGUAGAUACCUAAGAGAGGAAAUACGAUGUGGAAAAUGUGGCUUUCUUCAAAGACACCAGGAAGAUUAGUGUCAUGUCUGAAGCACCCAUUUGUGUCAAUGUUUGUCUCAGUGGGUAUAGGCUACACCUUGCUCCUUGUUUUAAUGAGAGUGAAUACAGCCCUAUAGUCUCUGGCAUUAAGGAGAAGGAGAUGUAGGAGGGACCAG
rnacentral:lncRNA from 1 species